AUUUUUUAGAGCAGAAAUCUGAAUGCAUUAACGUUCAUGCAUGCUUACUUUAUUUGCAAAUGGAAAAUAGAGUGAAUAAGAAGUCUGGCUUUCCUUGGUUGCAGAAACUUACUGAUAUAACUGUGGAAGACAAAAAUCCAUCAGAAUUAAAAUUUGGGAGCUGGUAUACUGCAAGCCCAUCGGAAACUGCCUACUUCUACUGCUUGUGUGGAUAGUAAUAUACGGCACCGUACGUUUAUCGCUUGAAAAAAAAACGAACGAAAAAAGUUCUAAAUUGAUACAAUAAAUUCAGAUUUGUAAUUGUGACAAAUUAAACUGCGCAUGUGUAAAAUAAACAAAAGUUACCUGCCAAUCACACAUUAUUAAACCUAGAAAGUUAAAAAAUUUAAACACAUUUCGAAAAAACUUACUUAAGAAUGUAUGCAAGAAAUCCUCAUUUAUAAAGCAUUAAAAAGAACUAACAAAAUAUUCCAUUGCUCAAAAUUAUGCAUGUUUGGAAAAUAUCCUGCGACUCAAUUAUACGAUCGUUUAGAAAAAAGUACUUAAAGUUAUGCACGUGUGGAAACUAUCCUAAGACUCACUUAUAUAAUCAUUUAGAAAAAUGAAUAAUGACACGUCAUUUUGAGCAACUAUUGAUUUAUAACCGCUGUGCAACCUUGCAUGCACUUAAUAUUACUAUUGAGAGAUUUAUUAUCAUUCUAUCUACAAAACGAAGUAUACUUUUAAGUGUGUAAGAAAAAAGUCACCCAUUGCAUUACUUUACUCACAAAUCGUUUACUGGCUUUAUGAAUAAACCAUUAAAUGUGUUUCUCAGAAAGAGAUUACCGAUUUCCAAGCUACCGAUCUAAAUACCUCGUUUAAAAUCGAAAACGCCAUUUUUUUUAAGAGCUAAAAUGUGAAUUUAAUCUCAAUAAGAGUUAAGCUCCUUGCAACAUAAAGAACGCAUUUGCCGGUUAUUUGCAUCUAUACAUAUGUAUAUUUCAAACUAGAUGGGUUCGCGAUUGGCUAUGUUUGGUUGAUACGAAACACUUCCAUAGCCAAUGAGAAUUCCGAUUUCGAACUUUGUGACGUACAUCAUCAAGAAAUCAAACUGAGUUGCAUGCAUGGGCAAGAACUUAAAUUUUAUUCGUAAAUAGUUCAAAGCAUUGUAUGGAGGUUUUGUCAAAAAAUGCCUUUCAUUGUUAAUGCAGUACUUCUGAGAAUUUCUUACAUCAUUAUUCUAAGUUUUAAGUUUCCAUGUACUUUGUUAAAUUGAAAAUGUGUUCUUUUGUGUUUUCGAAAACUUAAUAUAGGCAUUCUUUUCCCAUCUCUUUAAGUUUUGCGUGACUAUUUUUAGCUGUAAGAGAAUGUUUUCUAUUUUAGUAUAUUCUGAAAAUAUG